GCAAGUCGAGCGAAUGGAUUAAGAGCUUGCUCUUAUGAAGUUAGCGGCGGACGGGUGAGUAACACGUGGGUAACCUGCCCAUAAGACUGGGAUAACUCCGGGAAACCGGGGCUAAUACCGGAUAACAUUUUGAACCGCAUGGUUCGAAAUUGAAAGGCGGCUUCGGCUGUCACUUAUGGAUGGACCCGCGUCGCAUUAGCUAGUUGGUGAGGUAACGGCUCACCAAGGCAACGAUGCGUAGCCGACCUGAGAGGGUGAUCGGCCACACUGGGACUGAGACACGGCCCAGACUCCUACGGGAGGCAGCAGUAGGGAAUCUUCCGCAAUGGACGAAAGUCUGACGGAGCAACGCCGCGUGAGUGAUGAAGGCUUUCGGGUCGUAAAACUCUGUUGUUAGGGAAGAACAAGUGCUAGUUGAAUAAGCUGGCACCUUGACGGUACCUAACCAGAAAGCCACGGCUAACUACGUGCCAGCAGCCGCGGUAAUACGUAGGUGGCAAGCGUUAUCCGGAAUUAUUGGGCGUAAAGCGCGCGCAGGUGGUUUCUUAAGUCUGAUGUGAAAGCCCACGGCUCAACCGUGGAGGGUCAUUGGAAACUGGGAGACUUGAGUGCAGAAGAGGAAAGUGGAAUUCCAUGUGUAGCGGUGAAAUGCGUAGAGAUAUGGAGGAACACCAGUGGCGAAGGCGACUUUCUGGUCUGUAACUGACACUGAGGCGCGAAAGCG
rnacentral:rRNA from 1 species